CUCCUGGAAACGGGUGGUAAUGCCGGAUGCUCCGCCCCCUCGCAUGGGGGGUCGGGAAGGCUUUUGCGGAAUGGGAUGGGGUCGCGUCCUAUCAGCUUGUUGGCGGGGCGACGGCCCACCAAGGCUUCGACGGGUAGCCGGCCUGAGAGGGCGACCGGCCACAUUGGGACUGAGAUACGGCCCAGACUCCUACGGGAGGCAGCAGUGGGGAAUAUUGCACAAUGGGGGGAACCCUGAUGCAGCGACGCCGCGUGCGGGAUGGAGGCCUUCGGGUCGUGAACCGCUUUUGAUUGGGAGCAAGCGUGAGUGAGUGUACCUUUCGAAUAAGCACCGGCUAACUACGUGCCAGCAGCCGCGGUAAUACGUAGGAUGCAAGCGUUGUCCGGAAUCAUUGGGCGUAAAGGGCUCGUAGGCGGUUCGUCGCGUCCGGUGUGAAAGCCCAUCGCUUAACGGUGGGUCUGCGCCGGGUACGGGCGGGCUUGAGUGCGGCAGGGGAGGCUGGAAUUCCCGGUGUAACGGUGGAAUGUGUAGAUAUCGGGAAGAACACC
rnacentral:rRNA from 1 species